GGGUGAGUAACGCGUAUCCAACCUGCCCACCACUUGGGGAUAACCUUGCGAAAGUAAGACUAAUACCCAAUGAUAUCUCUAGAAGGCAUCUGAAAGAGAUUAAAGAUUUAUCGGUGAUGGAUGGGGAUGCGUCUGAUUAGCUUGUUGGCGGGGUAACGGCCCACCAAGGCAACGAUCAGUAGGGGUUCUGAGAGGAAGGUCCCCCACAUUGGAACUGAGACACGGUCCAAACUCCUACGGGAGGCAGCAGUGAGGAAUAUUGGUCAAUGGACGAGAGUCUGAACCAGCCAAGUAGCGUGCAGGAUGACGGCCCUAUGGGUUGUAAACUGCUUUUAUAAGGGAAUAAAGUGAGUCUCGUGAGACUUUUUGCAUGUACCUUAUGAAUAAGGACCGGCUAAUUCCGUGCCAGCAGCCGCGGUAAUACGGAAGGUCCGGGCGUUAUCCGGAUUUAUUGGGUUUAAAGGGAGCGUAGGCCGGAGAUUAAGCGUGUUGUGAAAUGUAGAUGCUCAACAUCUGAACUGCAGCGCGAACUGGUUUCCUUGAGUACGCACAAAGUGGGCGGAGUUCGUGGUGUAGCGGUGAAAUGCUUAGAUAUCACGAAGAACUCCGAUUGCGAAGGCAGCUCACUGGAGCGCAACUGACGCUGAAGCUCGAAAGUGCGGGUAUCGAACAGGAUUAGAUACCCUGGUAGUCCGCACGGUAAACGAUGGAUGCCCGCUGUUGGUCUGAAUAGGUCAGCGGCCAAG
rnacentral:rRNA from 1 species